rnacentral:snRNA from 1 species
CUAAUUCACUGUUAGUUUUCGGGGCCUUAGUGAAGACCCUUAGAACAAUUUUUGGUCAGCCCAUUGACGGUUUUGGGCUG